CCUCCUCCUCCUCCUCCUCUUCCUCCUCUUCCUCCUCCUCUUUCUUCUUCAUGAAGGCUGAGAAAGCACUGGGUGGACCUGUGGCUACAAGGAUCCUUCUGACCAACUGUCCACCCUCCUGUUCAGUUGACAAAUGCCAACUCUAUGUUAAAGUGAGAAAGCCUUGACUCCCUAUAGCUGUCCAUAUUCUGUGCCUCUAGGAAGGGUCUCCAGGCACAGCGUGCCUUGGUCUAUCUUGUGUGCAUCUGCACAGAGUCUCUGAGAUGAGUGGUCAAUCUUGGUAUCUGCACAGGUCUGGAAAUGUGUUUUGUGUGCAACCAUAUAUGUCACAGUCGUAGCCCCCUUUAGCUUUUCCUAGUGUACCUGCUUCCAGCCAUCACUGGAAUGCAGGAGCCAACAGCCAGACAUAAAGAGGGACUGCCAGAUGUGUGAGGGUGCUACUCCAGGCCAAGGACAUGGCCAUGUGGGUUUUGUCCAUGUGGGGGCAGAACAUGGAUGGUAGCAGAGACCAGGUAUCAAGGUGAGUCAGGUCUCCCUUAUUCUAGCCAGGACACCAGCCUUGAGCCAGGGCCAUUGUACCCAGGACCUCCUCAGCCUGGGGAGGACAUGGAGGGUAGAGAGGGUAGAAAAGAAUCAGGAUAUGGGGAGAUGAUUUGGUGGCUGGUGUUCUGGAUGUGUGAGCUGUCCCUGCUUUGGAGAGAUGGCCCAGGAAUUUGGGCUACCAAAGGGACAAGAAUGAAGACUAUUAGGGUUCCCUAUAUCCAGGUAGCCAGUGCUGAGCUGGGGGUAGGGGCAGAGUUACGAACCAGGAAUGAGUAAGAGCCAUGGGAGGCUGGGCUGAGGUGGGAGGCUGGCAGCCACCCCUCAUCUCUGCUCCACUGGGGCCCUAGCCAGUCUGAGUGCCCACCUACCAACUCCCUGUGCGCCCACUGGGCUGGAUCAUACAGGAGCAGUUCUCCAUCAGGGGUGGGGUUGGGGGGGCUACUGCCAGCUGGCCGAUGAGACACCCCCAGAGCUGAGAGUUCAGAUGCCCAUGCCAGUUAGAGGGUGGCGUUCAAGGCUGCCACCCCCACCCUGGCGGCUGUGUUUUCCUGCUGUUCUCUGCAAUUCCAUUUAAAUACCUCCCAGAGCCAGCCCAGCAGCAGCCUGCCUGCUUCCGGCACCAUAAAAGGAGAGAGGCUGAGAAUAGCUGAGCCAUGACGCAGCAAGGAGCUUCCCCACGCAGGAAGGCUCUGUGCGCUGAGCCUGCCACCACCCAGGGCCCACCCUGCCCUACACCUGCUCAGCCCCUGCCCUGAAGGAGAGGUGGGGACCAGAGUCCCUGGCUGGAGACUGGUGACAUUGUCCCUGCCAUUGGUGGCUUUGUGACUCUUAAACCAGACCUGCACAAAGAUCUUGUAUCAGGAACAGCGUUCAGGCUGAAGGGUUCGAGCUCUGGGCUGGGCGUACACCAGCGCCAAGAUGCAGACAGGUAAGAAUGCUUAGAAUUCCUGUGCCUGACAUUUCUCAUUCUGUCACAAAGGGGAGUGGGGUACCAAUAGGGAUGGAGCACAGUGCCCUGAAAGAGUUCAGAUUCACACAGAGAACCAGGAAGGGCUUCCUAGAGGUGGAGCCUGUGGGUAGAAGGCAAAGAGCACAGGUUGAGCAGGGGAGGCCAGUGCUGUGUCCCCUCCACUCUUUUGGCUCCCUAAUGGCCUUCAAGCGUGGUUACCCUCCUCUGGCUGGUGACUCCUCCGUUUUCUCUCUGGGCGGGGAGGGUGUUGGAUCUGGACCUCUUUCUUUCUCCGAUGUCUCCUCCUACCAGAGGCAGCUCAUCUGAGUUCUCAAGCCUUUGCCCUGGGCUUUGAAACUGACAACCAGCUCCCAGUGAGUGACCUGUGGAGCUGCAGACAUGUGGAGAUCCAAGUUGUCUCCCCACUUCCUGUAGUUCUCUAGCUAAGGCAAGCAGGUCUCUACCAUUGAUGGAUCUCACAGGUACCAGGCACGACUCUCGGUCCCUCGACCCACUGGAAAAGGUUGUGCAUGGGUUCAGGGUCUGCCCCAAACUGCCCAGUUGAGCAACCCCCCCCCCCCACACACACACACAUCUAGCCCUUUCUCUGUCCAAGGACAGGGGAGGAGCCCAGGUUGUGUGGACU
rnacentral:lncRNA from 1 species